GCCCCUGGGUUAUGGAGGAGACACGGAGAACCAAGGGGUAGCCCUCACUGGCUCAGGCCCCAGUAGUAUCAAAUGUUAGUGUCUGACUGGGCUCUUUCUCUAAACAGUGCCAUUGGAAAAGCUCAGGUCAGACAGACUUGGGACACUGUGGAGGCAGGACAGCCACACACCUUCUCAGAUGCAGGACUCUCGACUUCUCUCCAACACGUCUGCCUGCGUGCCACCAUGAGUAACAACCUCUGAACUGAAUUACAAGGAAACAAAACCAAGCAGACAACCCUGACAGAAUGUUCUCCAAUCUGCAAGUUUUACUAAGAAGUACCACGUGAGUGCAGACUCAGAACGCUGCCAUGUGAAAGUGGUGAGGGAGUGCACAUCGCAUCACUGGUAAAGUCUCCUAAGAAACC